rnacentral:rRNA from 1 species
AUUGAACGCUGGCGGCAGGCCUAACACAUGCAAGUCGAGCGAGCGGCGGACGGGUGAGUAAUGUAUGGGGACUGCCCGAUAGAGGGGGAUAACUACUGGAAACGGUGGCUAAUACCGCAUACUAUCGGAUAACCCAUAUGGGAUUAGCUAGUAGGUGGGGUAAAGGCUCACCUAGGCGACGAUCUCUAGCUGGUCUGAGGGGAUGAUAAGCCACACUGGGGCUGGGGCACGGCCCAGAAUCCUACGGAGGCAGCAGUGGGGAAUAUUUGCCCAUGGGCGCAAGCCUGAUGCCGCCCAGCCGCGUGUAUGAAGGAGGCCUUAAGGUUGUAAAGUACUUUCAGCGGGGAGGCGUUACCCGCAGAAGAAGCACCGGCUAACUCCGUGCCAGCAGCCGCGGUAAUAC